GUGAAGAACGUAGCGAAAUGCGAUAAGUAAUGUGAAUUGCAGAAUUCAGUGAAUCAUCGAAUCUUUGAACGCACAUUGCGCCCGCCAGUAUUCUGGCGGGCAUGCCUGUCCGAGCGUCAUUUCAACCAUCAAGCCCCGGGCUUGUGUUGGGGACCUGCGUCCGACGCAGGCCCCGAAAACCAGUGGCGGGCUCGCUGUCCACACCGAGCGUAGUAGCUAACCUCGCUCCGGAGUGGCGCGGGCGCCUGCCGUAAAACCCCCCCAAUUUUACAAGGUUGACCUCGGAUCAGGUAGGAAUACCCGCUGAACUUAAGCAUAUCAAUAAGCGGAGGA
rnacentral:misc_RNA from 1 species